UCCAGCCAAUCUCAACCCAAAAUAAAGGCUGGGCUCAUUGCUGGCAGUGGCCUUAGCUUGUGCUGGAAGGUUGGGAUGCAGCCAUCUGGAUGAGGGACUCUGCACCAGCCAACUGCUCGAGCACUGUUUUGGUGCAGUCGCUGCUGUGCUGCAUCCUUCCCUUGGGGUGGUCCAGCCCUGAGCAGUCCGGUCCUCCCCAGUGCCAUACUGGAAGGACUGGGGAGCCGCAGGAGCCCAACAGCAGCCCCUCUCCCAUGUGGACCCACUUUUCCAGCACAUUGAGCAUCUCUAAGGCGUGUCACGGAUCAAAGCGAAGCUGGAACUCUUCCUGGGGUGAACGACAGUGCAGGGAGCAGAAAGUCCUCGCUUUGAGAGCUAUUAUCAAUUGAAUUUAUCCCAAUCUUGUCAAGAUUACACCUGCUGUGCAAUAACACUUGCCAUCAUGAAGGCAGCUGACAGAAGUGUGGAUCUGGGGGGCAUUGGGGUCUCUCCAGCGACUUGGCGCCAGCCCCUGAGCGUGCAAGGCAAAGCCAGGCACCUCCUGCCUCAGUUUCCCCCUGUGCCCAUUGGGUCCGGUCUCUUGUCCACAGCGUUUUGGGAGACCACCGUCCCAAACACCCCACACCUGGAGAGAAACGGCCGGCACGGCCCUGCCACUGGCAGCCACUUCCUCGUGCCUGUGGCAGAGAAAGCUCCCGUUGCUGAACGACGGGGCCGUGACGUUGUUCCAACCCCGGGUCCCAACACCCUAAAGGGCUCUGAUGGGAUCCUGUGCUUGGUUUUCAGAGCAGCACAGCCAGCUUUGCCCAGCAAAUGCUGCAAAACAGACUCAUUAACUCUUUUAUUAGCACAUCGCAGCCCCAACCAAACAUUGCGCUGGCGAAGCGAUGCCAGCUCGGCCAUACCCGUGCCGACGGUGACAGCCUCCCAGGGAGAAAAAAGAGGGCUUUUUCUCUCCCCUCCUUCCCAGGGGGAGGAAGCAAGGGGCGACGCAGCAUUCCUCCGGCCGCCGCUGGGUCACCGUGGCUGCCUUUCAUCGGCCGCCGCGGCGCGGAAAGCGAUCGCUGGCGGGCCGGGCGCUUGGCAGGGCGGGAAGGCAGGCACGAGCAGCGGGAACACGGCAGCACCGGCGGGAUGGGGCUGUCCUGCUGCUGGCUGUCCCCGCCGCGGGAGCAGCCGCCUGGAGGUCCCGGUGUGCUGGGCGCCCUUUCGCACCGUGUUAGCACACGCUCAGACUUUCUAUUUCUACUCCGUCUUUCUCACUUUAACAGAAAUGCCCCCUGCUGCUUUGACUCUUUGCAGUUGAGCUGCAAGCCUGUUUUUGCCUGCUGUCUCCCCUCGGAUGUGGCGUUGCACGUUAUAUUUUCACAGAUACCUGCAGUUUUUGUGUUUUUUUGGCAGCCUGGCUUUACUGGUGCGUGCAUUCACCCUUUACACCCCAGCUGGAAUGUGGCCUGGGUGCAUCUAGCCCAGCUCCCCCUCUUUGCUCAUUCAUCCCAUGAGGGGUUGAGGGACCUUUCUGCAUUUUUUUAAGGAGAUAUAUUAAAUUCACGGGAGUAGCACAACAGGGGCAUCUCACAGCUCUCAUGUCCCCAUACCUCCAGCACUGUAGCUCACAGGGGUGGACGACUGUGGUGGGGAUGAUCAUUCCUUGGGCUCAGGGAGAGGUAGAUUUCCUUUUGGCUCUGGCUGCCCCUUGAAGAGUGGGGUGAGCAAUAGCAGAACGGGUAUGGAUUACUAUAAAAAAAAGAGAUGGCUCUGCUAUACAGGAAAAAAAUCCUUCCUAUCCUUGCCAGCUCAGCAGGGAAAAGCAUUAGAAGCAUCGGGUGCUCAACCCGGAGAGGGAGCUAGCUUGUUUUUUCACAUUCACAGGACACAAUCCUCUCUAGCAGAUGUCCCCAUAAACCCUGGGUGGGCAGUCACGGCCAGGCAAUGUCACAUACAGAAAAUACAGCGCUCUGCCUGCGCAUUGCCCUUCAUGGUGGCCAGGGCCAGCGCACAGCUGUUUGCAGCAUGAUAAGGUAGGUUAUGAAAUGCGCCAAAGUUGUUGAACAAAAGAGGCCCGUUGGGCUGUUUCAGCUCCUUUCCAGAGCCCGGGGUGGGCUGACAAGCAGAAGAUGGAUGGGAACACGGCGGUCCCUUCACGCGGCAGGAGGCUGCCCUUGCCUCAGAGCAGCACAAGGCAGGGAGGCUGGGGCUGUCUGCAGCAGUAGCAUCAGCUCUUGCCCUAGGCUGGACAAGGUUUUUGAGGCUGUGCAGCCCCAUGACCACCCCCAUUCCCGACAAACCCAGCCGUCCUGCUGCAGCGGGGAGGUGGAGGCAGCCUUCUCGUGGUGGGAGCCUUUCUCUCUGGAGAAGAUACAGGACACGGGUAGAGGGCUCUACGCUCCUGCAAAUGCCUAUAUUUCUGAAAUUCAUCGUCUACCCUGGGGCUAAGCCUCUGUGACCUUCCUGCACACCUUGGUUCUGCCCCCAGUGCCAUGGGGCUGGUAAAUCCCACCACAGCUGGACCUCGCGAGCCUCAGGGAGAUCUUUCCAAGCAGAGCUGCCCUGUGCUUAGUAUGGCUAAUAUAUGCUUAAUUUAAUGAAUGACAAUAUUGACUUUUUUCCCCCAUUCCUACCCGGAUCUCCAAUCUGAUAGAUUACCUGACUGUGACUUUGGCAGGACCAGCUCCAGCCCGUGGGGGAAAGGGCAAUCUUGGGCAAUGCCUCGCCUCGCAUCACCUUUCAGGAAAGGGUGCAGCUCCUUUCCAGAGGCAAACAAUGGCCGUGACCUGCCAAGGCGCCCUGUUUCCUCCUUCCGCGGGCAGCCCUGGUGUGUGACCCCAAGCUGGGUGCGGUGUGAGGGGGGUGGUGGGGAGCCCGGGACGUGUUUGCCUCCACAUGUCCCCCAGCUCCCCUGUGCUGGCACUGUCCCUAGGGCCCUGCUCUCCUCCAAGCUGUGCAGAGGACAAGGUUCUGGGGGUGUU